GGGAAGGUGGCUCAGUGGUAGAGCGCUUGCCUUGCAUGCAUGAGGCCCUGGCCCAGAGUUCAGGUCCCA
rnacentral:tRNA from 1 species